rnacentral:rRNA from 1 species
AUACGUAGGUGGCAAGCGUUAUCCGGAUUCACUGGGUGUAAAGGGCGCGUAGGCGGGGGUGCAAGUCAGAUGUGAAAUCUAUGGGCUUAACUCAUAAACUGCAUUUGAAACUGUAUCUCUUGAGUGCUGGAGAGGUAGACGGAAUUCCUUGUGUAGCGGUGAAAUGCGUAGAUAUAAGGAAGAACACCAGUGGCGAAGGCGGUCUACUGGACAGUAACUGACGCUGAGGCGCGAAAGCGUGGGGAGCAAACAGGAUUAGAUACCCUGGUAGUCCACGCUGUAAACGAUGAAUACUAGGUGUGGGGGGACUGACCCCCUCCGUGCCGCAGUUAACACAAUAAGUAUUCCACCUGGGGAGUACGGCCGCAAGGUUGAAACUCAAAUGAAUUGACGGGG